UACGUAGGGGGCAAGCGUUGUCCGGAAUUAUUGGGCGUAAAGAGCGUGUAGGCGGUCCGGUAAGUCAGCUGUGAAAGUCAAGGGCUCAACCCUUGAAAGCCGGUUGAUACUGUCGGGCUAGAGUACGGAAGAGGCGAGUGGAAUUCCUGGUGUAGCGGUGAAAUGCGCAGAUAUCAGGAGGAACACCGAUGCGAAGGCAGCUCGCUGGGACGUUACUGACGCUGAGACGCGAAAGCGUGGGGAGCAAACAGG
rnacentral:rRNA from 1 species